GGAAAGGGUAAAAGUCGUAACAAGGUUUCCCGUAGGUGAAACUUUGCGGAAGGAUCAUUAC
rnacentral:rRNA from 1 species